rnacentral:rRNA from 1 species
GACGAACGCUGGCGGCGUGCUUAACACAUGCAAGUCGAACGAAGUGGCGAACGGGUGAGUAACGCGUAAUCAACCUGCCCUUCAGAGGGGGACAACAGUUGGAAACGACUGCUAAUACCGCAUACUGAAGGAGGGGAUUGCGUCGGAUUAGCUGGUUGGAGGGGUAACGGCCUACCAAGGCGAUGAUAAGUAGCCGGUCUGGGGGGAUGAACCGCCAAAUGGGGACUGGGGCACGGGCCAGACUCCUACGGGAGGGAGCCGUGGGGGAUCUUCCGGAAUUGACGGAAGUCUGACGGAGCAACGCCGCGGUGGUGAUGGCGGCCUUCGGGUUGUUAAGCUCUGUUAAUCGGGGCGCGGUACCGGAAUAGAAAGCCACGGCUAACUACGUGCCAGCAGCCGCGGUAAUUC